CGUGGGGCAGCCAAUUGUCUGAGUCCUCAUGGGGAUUAGAGGCUGGGCAAAUGGGGGGCCAGCACCACAGCCUCUCUUAGGAACAGCAGAGCCAUCCUCUGAAGUCUCCUGAGUGAACUGGCCACACUGUAGCUGACCUGUCCCUAGUAAGAGCUCUGCAGCUCUGGCAGGAUAUGUCCAGUGGGCAUGGAGGCCCCCACAUUUGUGUGAGAGCACUGGAGAGCGUCACAGCCUCGGGCGCUGUGAACACCUGAGGUGGUGCCCACCACCAAGGGACUCCCCUGUGCUCCCUGCAUUUAUCCACUCCACCAUUUGCUCCCUCGCUGAGGAUGCUGAAAGUGUGCCAUGUCUCAGGAGCGUGGAGGAUGGAACCGCUGGGUGUGGUGAGAGAGAGGAAUGAGCCCACGGCGUCACCUAGGUGAAUGAAAAGUAAGUUUGGAAUCAGAUGGCAGCACAGGCAAUAGAAGCCAGGAAUGGAGGAGAGGGAGAAGGUGAGGUCAAAGCUGUCAAGAUGAUGGAGGUGUCAGAGGUCAACUAGUGUCAAACUUGAGGGAAGUGAGCAUCAAAGCAUGAAAGAAAAAUCUCAGCUCCCAAAAGUCUGAGAGCUUGUCCCAAUGCUGGGCCCACAAAGACAUCGUCCAUUUGGAGGCUCAGCUGGGGUGCAGGAUACAGAAGCUGGUUCUCUUGCCACUAGAAUGAAAAUGCCUGAGAUGAUUUCAGAAUGUGGAUGCCUGAGAAUGUAAUGAGGAUUGUGGACCCUGCCUCCACGAAGAAAGCACAUGUAUGUACAAACACUUAAUAUCACUCAUAUAGUCUGUAGGGUUUGUGGUACCUGCCUGAAGCCCACAUGUGGACCCUCUAGUGAUGCAUGGACCCUGGUCGAGAAAGCCAUGUCACCCACUUGCUCAAUCAAAGAAAGUCAUUCUCAACCACAUGUGUUUCCCAGAAAGAUAUUCUGUGGCUUGCUAACUUCACAAAAAAAUUACAGAUUUUGC